rnacentral:pre_miRNA from 1 species
AGUUUGUAUCCUUUGACAGAUACGCGUAUUUCGACCUCAACUGUAGACGGCCUUACAGUUGAGGUCGAAAUACGCGUAUCUGUCAAAGGAUACAAACUC